GCAAGUCGAGGGGCAGCAUUUCUAGUUUACUAGAAGAUGGCGACCGGCGCACGGGUGCGUAACGCGUAUAGAACCUACCUUUUACUGAGGAAUAGCCUUUAGAAAUGAAGAUUAAUGCCUCAUAGUAUCUAAGUAUUGCAUAAUACUAAGAUUAAAGAUUUAUCGGUAAAAGAUGGCUAUGCGUUCUAUUAGCUAGAUGGUAAGGUAACGGCUUACCAUGGCGACGAUAGAUAGGGGUCCUGAGAGGGAGAUC
rnacentral:rRNA from 1 species